UACGGAGGGUGCGAGCGUUAUCCGGAUUUAUUGGGUUUAUAGGGUGCGCAGGCGGAUUUUUAAGUCAGCGGUAAAAUCGAGGGGCUCAACCCCUUUAAGCCGUUGAAACUGGUGAUCUUGAGUGGGCGAGAAGUAUGCGGAAUGCGUGGUGUAGCGGUGAAAUGCAUAGAUAUCACGCAGAACUCCGAUUGCGAAGGCAGCAUACCGGCGCCCAACUGACGCUGAAGCACGAAAGCGUGGGUAUCGAACAGG
rnacentral:rRNA from 1 species